rnacentral:tRNA from 1 species
GGAACUAUAGGUUAAACGUUAUCAAACCAUUGGCCUUCAAAGCCGAAAAUGAGUAGUCUAGUUUCG